ACUUCCAUGAUCUAUCAAGGAAAAAAACGGAGAAGUGGAAGUAGAAGUUUCACAAAACAUUCAAAAGUUGCACUGACUGAACAUAUAAAAAAUGGAACUGGCACGCUGUUGACAAACUUGGAUAGAUGAAGGCAUGAUGGCACCAGAAAAAUCUUUGCGGUCAUGAUCCAAUCUGUUAAACUCCUUCGUUUUCUUGAUUGAUGGGUUCAAAUCAAUUGACGAUUAUGACAAACUUUGCUCGCUCCCCAAGAAAAUCAACAAAAACUUGGCCGCCCUUUAAGAAGGAAAAAACUUAUCACC
rnacentral:lncRNA from 1 species